UACAGAGGGUGCAAGCGUUAAUCGGAAUUACUGGGCGUAAAGCGUGCGCAGGCGGUUAUAUAAGACAGAUGUGAAAUCCCCGGGCUCAACCUGGGAACUGCAUUUGUGACUGUAUAGCUAGAGUACGGCAGAGGGGGAUGGAAUUCCGCGUGUAGCAGUGAAAUGCGUAGAUAUGCGGAGGAACACCAAUGGCGAAGGCAAUCCCCUGGGCCUGUACUGACGCUCAUGCACGAAAGCGUGGGGAGCAAACAGG
rnacentral:rRNA from 1 species